rnacentral:rRNA from 1 species
UACGUAGGGGGCGAGCGUUGUCCGGAUUUAUUGGGCGUAAAGGGUAUGCAGGCGGCCAGGUAAGUCAGAUGUGAAAUCCUAUAGCUCAACUAUAGUAAGCAUUUGAAACUGCUUGGCUUGAGUCAAGGAGAGGAAAGUGGAAUUCCUAGUGUAGUGGUGAAAUACGUAGAUAUUAGGAGGAAUACCAGUGGCGAAGGCGACUUUCUGGACUUGUACUGACGCUGAGGUACGAAAGCACGGGGAGCAAACA